CCAAACGUUAUUAGUUCAGUGAGUGUCAUACGAUGCCCCAAAAAUGUACCUCUAAACCUUUAUUUCGAACACCCCAAGAAGUUUUUUGUCGUCACCAUUCAUCAUCGACCGUGCCUUAUACACAUAAGAGACUAUAAGGAACACUUUAUUACAUGAUUUUAAACGCGUAUCAGACAAGUAUAUUGAUUGGCUGAUUACUAAAUAUGCUCUUUCUUAAAUUCACGGUAACUCGGACCCUAAAAAAACUUCAGAGAGUUCAUUAACGCGGCGAUAAGAUGUAGUUCUCGAAAUCGACAGACACCUUUUAUACCUAUACUAUACAGCUGAUAUUAAAUCUUUGAAUGAUUCGCAAUUUGUGCGGUGUAAUUACCGAGGGAGGAAAUGCAUAUCUCCC